GACGANUCCCCAUUGAUUCUUAGUGCUUGCANUAAGAUGAUUUUGGAUCCGACUGAGUGGCGAACUGGUGAGUAACACGUGGGUAACCUGCCCAGAAGAAGGGGAUAACACCUGGAAACAGAUGCUAAUACCGUAUAACAACAAGAACCACAUGGUUCUUGUUUGAAAGCUGGCCUUUGUGCUAGUGCUUCUGGAUGGACCCGCGGCGUAUUAGCUAGUUGGUGAGAUAAUAGCUCACCAAGGCAAUGAUACGUAGCAGACCUGAGAGGGUAAUCUGCCACAAUGGGACUGAGACACGGCCCAUACUCCUACGGGAGGCAGCAGUAGGGAAUCUUCCACAAUGGACGAAAGUCUGAUGGAGCAACGCCGCGUGAGUGAAGAAGGGUUUCGGCUCGUAAAACUCUGUUGUUAGAGAAGAACAGCCGUGAGAGCAACUGCUCACGGUAUGACGGUAUCUAACCAGAAAGUCACGGCUAACUACGUGCCAGCAGCCGCGGUAAUACGUAGGUGGCAAACGUUGUCCGGAUUUAUUGGGCGUAAAAGGGAGCGCANGCGGUUUAUUAANUCUGAUGUGAAAGCCUUCGCUUAACCCGANAANUGCAUCGAAACUGAUAAACUUGAAUGCAAAAAGGGGGGGGGGGGGGNNNUGUGUACCGUUAAAUUCCUAAAUAUUUNAAAGGAACACCANUGGCGAAGGCGGCUAUNUGGUCUNUAAAAAAAAAACACNCCCCCUNNNUNCGGGG
rnacentral:rRNA from 1 species